GACGAACGCUGGCGGCGUGCUUAACACAUGCAAGUCGAGCGGAAAGGCCCUUCGGGGUACUCGAGCGGCGAACGGGUGAGUAACACGUGAGUAACCUGCCCCAGACUUUGGGAUAACCCUCGGAAACGGGGGCUAAUACCGGAUACGACACAGCUUCGCAUGGGGUCUGUGUGGAAAGUUUUUCGGUUUGGGAUGGGCUCGCGGCCUAUCAGCUUGUUGGUGGGGUGAUGGCCUACCAAGGCGACGACGGGUAGCCGGCCUGAGAGGGCGACCGGCCACACUGGGACUGAGACACGGCCCAGACUCCUACGGGAGGCAGCAGUGGGGAAUAUUGCACAAUGGGCGGAAGCCUGAUGCAGCGACGCCGCGUGAGGGAUGACGGCCUUCGGGUUGUAAACCUCUUUCAGCAGGGACGAAGCGCAAGUGACGGUACCUGCAGAAGAAGCGCCGGCCAACUACGUG
rnacentral:rRNA from 1 species